rnacentral:tRNA from 1 species
GCCUGGUUGGUUCAGUCAGUAGAACAUGUGACUCUUGAUCUCAGGAUCCUGAGUUCGAGCCCCAGAUUGGGCG